rnacentral:rRNA from 1 species
GGGACAACCCGCCGAAAGGCGGGCUAAACCCGCGUACAUGCCACCGGGGCAUCCCGGAGGCAGGAAAGGCUUCGGCCGGACAGGGAUGGGCAUGCGGCGCAUUAGGCAGUAGGCGGGGUAACGGCCCACCUAACCGACGAUGCGUAGGGGUUCUGAGAGGAAGGUCCCCCACACUGGUACUGAGACACGGACCAGACUCCUACGGGAGGCAGCAGUGAGGAAUAUUGGUCAAUGGUCGGGAGACUGAACCAGCCAAGCCGCGUGAGGGAUGAAGGUACAGAGUAUCGUAAACCUCUUUUGUCAGGGAACAAAGGCGGGGACGUGUCCCCGGAUGAGUGUACCUGAAGAAAAAGCAUCGGCUAACUCCGUGCCAGCAACCGCGGUAAUACGGAGGAUGCGAGCGUUAUCCGGAUUUAUUGGGUUUAAAGGGUGCGCAGGCGGUCUGUUAAGUCAGCGGUCAAAGCCCGGGGCUCAACCCCGGCCCGCCGUUGAAACUGGCAGUCUCGAGUUGGAGAGAAGUAUGCGGAAUGCGCGGUGUAGCGGUGAAAUGCAUAGAUAUCGCGCAGAACUCCGAUUGCGAAGGCAGCAUGCCGGCUCCACACUGACGCUGAGGCACGAAAGCGUGGGUAUCGAACAGGAUUAGAUACCCUGGUAGUCCACGCAGUAAACGAUGAAUGAAGGCUGUCCG